CCGUCUGAGGGUCGGC
rnacentral:rRNA from 10 species